rnacentral:lncRNA from 1 species
GAGUCCAUUUCAAAGAAAGACCUCACUUUGGACUAUGUCACGGCAAGACUAGCCCAUGAAGUGACCAAAAGAAAGCAAAAGGAGUCUAUUGGAGAGCAAUCAGCACUAUUUACAAGACCAAGUAAGGCAAGUGCCCCUUUUCAACGUUAUCCUCCUAAAACUUGUUAUAUUUGUGGAAAACCAGGCCAUUUUGCUAGAAAUUGUUUCAA